rnacentral:lncRNA from 1 species
AAACAAACAAACAAACAAACAAAACAAACAGUUCAAAAUAUAUGAAGACAUAUAGACUAGCAGGACAAGCCAUGUGCAAUUAGGUUACAGCUUCUAAAAUGAAAAAUGACAUUGUAUGGAUUUCCACGUUUCUCUAGGAAGAAAAAAAGAAGCAAAUAAAAUUAGAACAAAAAUUUUGUAUUACUCACCCAAAGCCACUGUGGACCAAGUGGCAUCAGAGUGGUACAAGCAGCACCUGGAUCCUUAACGCCUAGACUAGGAGAGAAACUUGAAGAGCUUGAAGAAUGUUACCAAGAAUGAAAAAGUUUGAAGAUAGGGGAGUUGGAAGGAAUACCUGGUAGAGGACAUUCUUGAAGGUGUGGAAAUAGAGUCUAGAACACAACUGAAUAAAGAGAGCUCCCCAUUUUGUGAGAUUGGAGGUGAAGAGGGAAAUUUGUGGAAAGAGGAACUUGGCAAGGAUGACCAAGAAUUUAGAAGAUGCCAGCAUCUUCUAACAUCAGCAACAGCAACUGCAUAUGUAACUGUCCGAAAUGCAAACAUGUGUAUGGAAAGUACAAGCAAUAAUUAAGAAGUGAAACGACACACCUCACAUACACGAAGAAAGUGAAUAAUG